AUUCAAGAAUAGUUUUGUUUGUCCUGCCCUGCUAUUUCUUUAAGGAGAUCGUACGUAUGUAGUGGAAAGGGCACAAAGAGACCCAGCCUCCUAGUCUCUCGUACCGGCAUCCAGCCGCCUGCUUAGGGACAGGAAGUCGGCCAUGCCGAGAAGGUCGUUCUGAAUGGAAGUGGAAGGACGGCCACAGAAACGGACAGGAAGUUGGCCAUCCCGGGGAGGUCGGUGUGUAAGACAGUGGAGGACUACUGCGCAUGUGUGACUGGAAGUUGGCAGGCCCUAGGAGUAGGUAACCCAAAACACUCGAAGAGCCACUUGGACCCAUUUACAACCGAAAACAUCUUUUAUGACUCAUGGACUUCUACUCCCAGAAUUCCUGAGUCAGCAUAGCUGGGCUAGCUAGCUCUCUCCUGCCCUUCCUGCUUCCUGCAGAGACGCAGCAAAAGGAGGAGUGCCAUCCAGUAAGCUUUUUAGCUCGUCGGAGAACACUGUGAGUCCACUCUCUUUUUUACACACACACACAC